UGAACAGCAGUUGGACAUGGGUGAGUCGGUCCUAAGAGAUAGGGGAACUCCGUUUCAAAGUGUGCGCUUGUUCGCACGGCCUAUCGAAAGGGAAUACGGUUAAAAUUCCGUAACCGCAAUGUAGAUUCUGAACGGCAACGUAAAUGAACUUGGAGACGCCGGUGUGGGCCCUGGGAAGAGUUAUCUUUUCUCCUUUACAGCUUAUAACCCUGGAAUCGGAUUAUCCGGAGAUAGGGUCUAAUGGCUGGUAGAGCAUUGCUAUUUUGUAAUGUCCGGUGCGUCCACAACGGCCCUUGAAAAUCCGAGGGAAUGAAAAAGUCUUACAUGCGAUCGUACCCAUAUCCGC
rnacentral:rRNA from 15 species